rnacentral:lncRNA from 1 species
CUGCUUUUACUUAUGUGAUCAAACAUAACGGUAGGCCUCAUUAGCACUUGAAAAUCAACACAACGCUACCAUACAUCAUAUAGAUUAGUCCCUAAUGAAAGCCAUAUUUAUAUAAUGACGAGAGUUCAGCUAUUACAACUAAGAUUUAGCAUACAAAAAUCCUGUAAGAGCGUACCAAAUCUGCGCAUCUACAGUUUAUCGUAACAGUAGUAAAAUCCCUAUAACUUCAGUAAUCAAAGAAGCCACUCAAGCUAAAUGAACUACUACUACAUUUGACUAAUAGGAUUCAUGCAUUGUAGACAUUAGAUUCAAAAGAGUUUAAACAACACUAGAGCUUAGAAUGACAAGCUAAAAUUCACAUAAAGGAGGGUUCGAACAGUAAGUUUAAUACAUCAAAAGAACACGCGAUUGAUCCCUAAAGAACCUAUAUCUUUGUUCAAACUCAUUCUAAUUGAUAUGCAAGCCAGGUUGUUUAUAUAGCUUUGAUGUGCAAUUCACAUGUUAAUGGGAUCCAGGAAGUACCUAAAAAUAAAGAGAGAAAUAGAAGGGGUGAAUAGUCAACAGAGCAGCAAAAGAACAACACCCAACUUUAAUGAAACAGUAACCCCAAUAGCAAAACUCAGAACCAAUCUUAAAGAAAACCAGAUUCAAGCCAUUGAAACCAAGAUGUAGGGCUUUGAUCUUUUCAGGAAAAUAAUAGUUUUAUAACUAAAUGAAACUAAAAAAUACCAACUAUGCAGGAUUUAAGCAAUUUUAUGAACAAGAAAUGCAGAGAAUUCAGAAUUCUCUCAAAGAACCUAGCCGCUUCAGUUUUCAAGGAUUUUUCUUUCUUAAAAAUCUGACUUGAAUAUCAAGUAAGGGUGACUUUAUAGGAAACGCAUUAAGGCUACAAAAAUAAACUAGGAUUUGUACUUAUAAUCUUCUAGAGUUUUCAUUUUUGCUUAGGAGGCCUUAGUUUAAAUUUCAGAACUUCAAAAUAGUCCUCACCCCAGCUUUCUAGAAGCUUCCUCAAUCAGUUUUCAAAGAUUCCUCUACCUAGAGUUCCUAAACUAUCCACUAAAGCCCAUGUUAUUAUCCCUUGAGGCCAGGCAUAACCAGGGUCCAAUCUACCCAAUUUAAUGGGUCUAAAAAGAACGAAUUCGAUUCCCUUCCAGGCUAUUUGAUCUUCAGAAACCAAAUCAAUAUGAUGAAAAACCAAAACACCCAAGUGUUCAAAGUUAGAACCUUACAGACUCAAAACAAAAUUGGGCCCAAGAUAAGAACGAAAAAUCAACCAAUUCAGACUUAGAAACAGAACACAAAUAAUAAUCAAACACAACCUAAAUCUAACAUGAGGAUAUAGAUGGUGAAAAAUGAAAAAUGAUAAAUCAGAAAAUAAAAGAAAGAGUAGAAGAAGAUGAGAAAAGAACACAAAAUAUCCAGAGGUAAAGAAAGUACCUAAGAAUCUCGGACAAAUAAAAAAUAUGAACUGAUUCUUCGAAAUCUUUAAUUUUCGGUCCAGUCCGAGAUUAAUCGUAUGUUCUUUACCAAAACAUAUGAAUAAAGUCAAAAUGGACCGAAAAUCUUCAAUGAGAACCUGAAUUGGAAAUUUGGGAUUUUAGGAUUCAUCUUUUAAUUUAAUAUUCGAGAAGCUCUGGGGUGCUUCGAGGGAAACGGAGUGGGGAUUUGGAAUGAGGGGAAUGAACGGGUUCUAAGGUGUGUUUUCGGGGUGGAUUGGGGUGGUUCAAGGUUGCGCCGCCACCGGGGGUAAUGGGGGAUUUUUAAGGCGGCGGGCUCUAGGGUUCAUUGGAUUCUCUGAGGGUGAAGCGGAUGAGAGAGACGAGUUUGGGAGGAGGGGGG